UACGUAGGCAGCAAGCGUUGUUCGGAAUUACUGGGCGUAAAGAGUGUGUAGGCGGUGCUCCAAGUCUGGUGUGAAAUCUCCCGGCUUAACUGGGAGGGUGCAUUAGAAACUGGAAUGCUAGAGGAUGGGAGAGGUAAGCGGAAUUCCUGGUGUAGCGGUGAAAUGCGUAGAUAUCAGGAGGAACACCUGUGGUGUAGACAGCUUGCUGGACCAUUUCUGACGCUGAGGCACGAAAGCGUGGGUAGCAAACAGG
rnacentral:rRNA from 1 species